AUUGAACGCUGGCGGCAGGCCUAACACAUGCAAGUCGAACGAGUGGCGGACGGGUGAGUAAUGUCUGGGAAACUGCCCGAUGGAGGGGGAUAACUCCUGGAAACGGUAGCUAAUACCGCAUACCAUCGGAUGUGCCCAGAUGGGAGUAGCUUGUAGGUGAGGUAACGGCUCACCUAGGCGACGAUCCCUAGCUGGUCUGAGAGGAUGACCAGCCACAUUGGAACUGAGCAAAGGUCCAGACUCCUACGGGAGGCAGCAGGGGGGAAUAUGUCACAAUGGGCGCAAGCCUGAUGCAGCCAGGCCGCGUGUAUGAAGAAGGCCUUCGGGUUGUAAAGUACUUGCAGCGGGGAGGCGUUACCCGCAGAAGAAGCACCGGCUAACUCCGGGCCAGCAGCCGCGGUAAUAC
rnacentral:rRNA from 1 species